rnacentral:rRNA from 1 species
GACGAACGCUGGCGGCGUGCUUAACACAUGCAAGUCGAACGGUGAAAGCGGAGCUUGCUCCGCUGGAUCAGUGGCGAACGGGUGAGUAACACGUGGGCAACCUGCCCCUCACUUCGGGAUAACUCCGGGAAACCGGGGCUAAUACCGGAUAUGACCUCCUUGGGCAUCCUUGGAGGUGGAAAGUUUUUCGGUGAGGGAUGGGCCCGCGGCCUAUCAGCUUGUUGGUGAGGUAGCGGCUCACCAAGGCGACGACGGGUAGCCGGCCUGAGAGGGCGACCGGCCACACUGGGACUGAGACACGGCCCAGGCUCCUACGGGAGGCAGCAGUGGGGAAUAUUGCGCAAUGGGCGAAAGCCUGACGCAGCAACGCCGCGUGCGGGAUGACGGCCUUCGGGUUGUAAACCGCUUUCAGCAGGGAAGAAGCCGCAAGGUGACGGUACCUGCAGAAGAAGCACCGGCUAACUACGUGCCAGCCGCCGCUGUAA